rnacentral:rRNA from 1 species
UACAGAGGGUGCAAGCGUUAAUCGGAAUUACUGGGCGUAAAGCGCGCGUAGGCGGUUGGGUAAGUUGGAUGUGAAAUCCCCGGGCUUAACCUGGGAAUGGCAUUCAAAACUGCACGGCUAGAGUAUUGGAGAGGAAGGUAGAAUUCCAGGUGUAGCGGUGAAAUGCGUAGAGAUCUGGAGGAAUACCGAUGGCGAAGGCAGCCUUCUGGCCAAAUACUGACGCUGAGGUGCGAAAGCGUGGGGAGCAAACAGG